rnacentral:lncRNA from 1 species
GGUCAUACUAUAAAUUUCUCAGUUAAAGCUUCCUCGUGUAGAAAAGGAUAAUCAAACGUUCUUAAGAGCUUGAGAGAAUAUUGCAGGUAGGUUUCUACUGUAUGAUCUGACGCCUUUCCAUUGAUUUGCAGAUGGAGACGUCUCAGUUGUUCAAUCGCUUUUAGCAGAAUUACCUUCCCAAUUUUUGGAAUUUAUGCGGUUCAGAAAGAUACAGCCGACUUUAUGAUCAUAAUACUAUUANNNNNNNNNNNNNNNAGAAAGAUACAGCCGACUUUAUGAUCAUAUUUCUACUGUAUGAUCUGACGCCUUUCCAUUGAUUUGCAGAUGGAGACGUCUCAGUUGUUCAAUCGCUUUUAGCAGAAUUACCUUCCCAAUUUUUGGAAUUUAUGCGGUUCAGAAAGAUACAGCCGACUUUAUGAUCAUAAUAUUAUUAUUGUACAUAUAGAUGUUGAUUCGCCUAUUGCCUGCGCUAUUUGCCAUUUUGGAGCUUGCUUCCCAAGAUAAGUUUUGCUGGUCACGUCUUCCUUCAUGUUGUUCGGAAGAUUUAGCUGAUAUUUUUCUUCAGCAUCAUUGAGCCGAGGGUCUAUCGGAAACAAUCUCUCUAUCUCCAUGAGGUAGGGGUAAGGUUUGCGUACACAUUAUCCUCCCCAGACCCCCACACUCGCACCGUGGGAAUAUAUUGGGUAUGUUGUUUUCUUCAGCAUCGUGUUGUAAUUGAUUUGUUUAUUAGAAAAACCAUGUCCAUUGCCUUCUGUUAUGCAAAAAUCCCAAUCUCGUUAGGAGCAAUGGGCAUCGUGAUCACCUUCCAGUUGCGAUAAUCACGAUUACUUUGCAACAAGUAAAGGCAGUUGCCCCUGGCAAAAUAACUAGCAAUUUUAAAGGCAGUUGUCAGAACCACAAGCUGAUGAGUGAGGUGGUCUGGCAGUACAGGAAUCCGGCUUCAAUUCGAGCUUCUUUUCCUCUGGUGGCGGGGUGGGUAGUACUUUUAAAUUAUAAUGAGAUUAUUCACUGCAUGUUUUUUUUAGAUGAUUAGUUUAUUGGAUUAAAAAUGUGAUAUGCAGCACAAUUGUGUUUGGUUAUAAAUUAGAUAAAUUUGGAUAUACUUUACCUUCCAAUUUUAAUCUUGGCUCUUUAAAAGACAGGAGAAGAGUUUUGGAGGAAGACAUUUAUUAUUUUACUUGGGGAUAGUUAUCUCUCAGAGUGGUAUGAAAUAGUUCUCGGACUAAUUAUACCGAUAAACUUUUUUUAACCAAACAUAGAGUAAUUUCACAAUUUAUUCCAAAUUAUUAUCGUUAUCCCUUCAACCAAACACCCAAAAUUAUCUACAUCUUACUUCCAUUUAUUAAUCCUUUUAAAGAAAAUCACGAUAAGACAUCUUUUUGAUAGAUCAUUAGAUAUGUGAAAAGUCUCAAUUUGAAAUUGUUUAAAAUUUGUGGAGAAAAUGCAUGUUUUUUAAACAUUUGUUAAUUCCUUUUUAUGACGAUUCCUUGCAAUAGUUAUUAUGUACAAUAAUCAAGUCCAAAUAAAAAUCAAUUUACCGUUUGCCGUGGACCCAUCUCCAUUCGGAAAAAAUAAAAUUACAAAUUUUAACCUUAAUAUUAUACUUAAAUAAAUACAACACAACGAAAUGAUGGCUCAUUCAAGGAGAGGUGGGGUUUUAUAAGUUUUAUAAAAGCAAGGGGUGCCAUAUUACCUUCGUAAAACCGCUAGUUUCUGGUCGCUGGCUUGCUGUUACCUAAGAUGUCCAGAUUUUUCUGUUAACUCAACCUUUUGCUGUUGUGAAGCAAUUCGACAAGAUUUACUAUAUUCACAACAUGUACUCAAUUAAAUUUCAUAACAUGGUUUCUUAUCUUAGAGUAUCCUUUUUAAUAUAGUAUAUUUUUUUGCUAUCAAUCAAACACCAAAAAAGUUUUUUCAUUCAGCUUUUGCAAACGAUGAAAAAAAAACAUUUUUAGCUAUUUUUGAGUUUUUGCAAAAGCUAAAAAUAUUUCUCUUUUCUUUAUGUUAAGUAGAAAAACAGUUUAUGCAAAAUCUUUAAAAAAUUAAAUUACCAAAAAAUUUUCUUCGAAAUUUUGGCAAACGCUACCUUUUGUACCAUAUGGAUGUAAUAAAAGAAGAAAGCAUAACAGUUGGAUAUACAUAUUGUUAGGUGAAACAAUUACACAAGCAUCCCAAUAAAAAGUACGACCGCCUAUAGGGUAUAAACCAUAGUAUAGUCCACACUAAGUUAAAAGUAUUCACAUUCGGGUAUAAAAAGCAAGAAUAGUAAACCCUAAUACUUCUUCUCUUCUUCCCCCUUUCCUCGUGGACCUCCUUCUUGUUUCAUUUACUUUGUGUUUGGUUGCUAAGCUAGUACUGUUGGAUGGACUAGAUAGAGUUUUAUUAGAAGAAAUUAAAGAGUCAAAAACAGUGGAUCCAAGGCAUGGAAAGAGGGGACUUUUCAUCCAGUGAAAUGGAAGAGAAAGAGAAUAAUGAUAAUAUUGAUCAUCCUCAACUUCAACAGGAGAUUACAUACUCAGCUCGAUCUCAGCAUGACAUCUCUGCUAUGGUUUCUGUCCUUUCUCAAGUUAUUGGAAACAGUACCACCCAUAAUUCUUCUUCUGCUAAUUCUACUCCAUUAACCCUACCUCAGUCUGCUGUAGCUCUCCAAAAUCAAUCUCAAUCUAUUGAGGAUCAAGGUACACACUACCAUCCCCACUCUCCGGACCUAUUUAUGAGAUUACACUGGGUAUAUUGUUGUUAAGUGUGUCACUUUAAGGAGUGAGUUGUUGUCGACUCUUUAUAUAAUCUUGAACGAUGCUAACCUAUUGAGUUAGUUCCAGAAUUGAGUUAGAUCCAAGAUUCACCUUUUUUAAAAAAAAAAACAACCUAUAUAUAUUUCUGUAAGUUGUUUAUCAUCUUCAUUGGAUGGCAAGUGAUUUCCAAAAAGAUGACCAUAUUUAAUCAGAUGUAUUAUCUGACUCAUUUCCUUUUUCGCAAGCCGAUACAUAUUUUUAUUAGACUAUAUAUACAACCUUAUUAUGCAUCUCAUUAAUAUCUUGUUCAUGACCACUUCGGGUGGCGUCCUUAAUCAACUGACCUUUUAAUUUCUAAUUCCCCAAAUGGAAAUAAACUGAUUGUUUCCUUCAUUCUUCCCACUAAAUUUCUUCGAAGCAAAAGAAAUAAAGAGAAAUUAAAGGAAAGCAAAAACUUCGAGGGAAAAAAGAAGAAGAAAAGUAAGGAACAUUAGGUAGCAGUUAAUUUCAACUAGUUCAAUUUCUUCCUAGGGUUACACCGACCUCGGUUGUCAACAACUCAACAUCACAAUAUAUCUAAUCACGUUUUCUUAAUAGGAGUAGGAUUUAACUUAUUUACAUUGAAAUUAAAAAAAAAUUAAUACUAUCAAUGUACCUUAACCAGCAGACAAUCUACAGAAGUAGUAUUAUUUCUAACAGUCAUGCUCUAUAAUACAUCCAAGGUUUCUUUGGAACCACAUUUUUAUAUUUUCUUUAUAGAAAAACUUUAAUAAUAGCAGCCAAAAUAUUUCAGAACAAAUAAACCUCUUAUAUAGAGGUUUGAAUGUAGUUAUAUUUUAGAUGAUAUGAUAAGAAUAUAUGUAUUUGUGAAGGGAAUUCAAGAAGAAAACGGUAUAGAGGAGUGAGGCAAAGACCAUGGGGAAAAUGGGCAGCCGAAAUUCGAGACCCAAAGAAAGCAGCAAGAGUAUGGCUUGGCACUUUUGAAACUGCUGAGGCUGCAGCUGUUGCCUAUGAUGAAGCUGCUCUCAGAUUCAAAGGCAAUAAAGCCAAACUCAACUUCCCUGAAAAAGUUCAAGGCAAAUUCCAAUACCUUACUAAUCAAGAUCAUCACUUGCCUAAUAAUAUUGUUCAACAACAAUAUAUAGCAACUACCUCCACUAAUAAUAAUCCUCUCCCUUUUCAAGAACAUUAUCCUAGUAUACAUCACUAUGCUCAGCUGCUUCAGAAUGACAGCAAUAUUACUGAUUUAAACUUCGGUAUCUCGCCAUGUUAUAAUCUGCAGUUAUCUGGUUCUCUUGAUUUUUCUCAAUCAUCAUCUAACAGUACGUUAUCAGAAUUGCCAGCUUUGACAUUACCGUCAAGUUACAAGCAAGAAGAAGAGGAAGUUUUUAUGAGAUUCUCAUCGGAUUUUGGUACUUCUUCAAGCUCAUGUGCACCUCAUGAAAGUAACUGGGAAGAGUUUGAAGAUAGAAAGUCAUAAGUUAGUUUCCUAGUAUUAGGAGAUAUGAAGAAUGGAAGAAGUUUGUAUGAGAUUUCCGUCGCAUUUUAUUUCGUAAUAAUGAGGUUUCUUAUUCUCUUAUUUCAGUCUUUUUAGCUUUACUUGCUUUGGAACUAUAUAUAUUCAUGAAGUAAUAGCAAAAUAUUGGUGUGGUUUUAUGUGUUUAAGGUUAAGUGUCAAGAUAACAUUCUUACCAACAACAUAGAACAUACCUAUACCUAGUGUAAUCCCACAAGUAGAGUCUCGAGAAGACAGAGGCGAACUUAGGUAUAAACUUGAGUGGUCACAUGACCCCAUAAACUUCGGCAGAGAUCUUGUAUAUGUAUAUGUGUAUAUAUUGAAAAUAAUUAAUAUAAAUUCCUUGGCACCCUCAACACUAAAAGCCUUUAGGGGCACUGGUUGAGCAGAAUACCGAUGCCCGGCCACCUUAAAAUCCUGGGUCUGCCUAUGCGAGAGGAUAGUAUAUGUAUGCAGCCUUAUCCCUAUCUUGUAUAAGUAAUAGAGAGGAUGUUUUUGAUAGAUCCCGGCUCAAAGCAAGCAUGCAAAGAUGAACUCAAUUUAUAUGAGGUUCCAAAUAUAUAGUUUUAAAUCGUCUAAUAAAUUACAAAAUUUAUGAAAUACGUAUACUUGAUACAUCAACAUUUAGUCAUUUAGCGUGACUGCUAUUGUGCCUUAAAAAAGACCAAAGAAAGCAAUGUUCACUAUACUGGAUUAAAGAAAAUGAACCCCUUUCUCAUUUUGAACAUGACAGUCAUUUGCAAAGAUGAACUCAAUUCAUAUGGGACUUCCAAAUAAUUUUAUAUCGUCUAAAAAAAUCACAAAUUUGUCGUAUAACUCCUAGUCGAUGUUUAUCAAUGUGAGUAUCUGUAAGCAUAUGGCAUUCAAUGAAAACAGUACAUGCACAUGAUGCAAAGUGAAAUAAGUGGAAGCUAUAUUAGCGAAUAAAGGAGUAGAAUUUUGAUUAUGUGUAGCUGAAGUUGGCCACUAAUUGUAUUUCUCUUUUGCAUGGUAUGGAAAUUAAAGUAAGAACGAGGUGGCACGCAAUUAGACAAGAGGUGUUGCUCUGAUGGUAAGCAACCUUCACUUCCAACCAAGAGGUUGUGAGUUCGAGUCUCCCCAAGAACAAGAUGGGAAGUUCUUGGAGGGAAGUAUGCCGGUUUCUAUUUGGAAAUAGCCUCUCUACCCAAAGUAGGGAUAAGGUCUGCGUACAUACUACCCUUCCCAUACCCUACUAAGUGUGAUUAUACAGGGUUGUUGUUGUUGAGGUGGCACGCAAUUAGUGGGCAACUAAGUUUUGCUUUUCGUUCAGUUUGAUUAUAGAGGCAAUUAAGAUUUGUGGAACGCCGUCCUUUCCUUUAAUUGUUACUUAUUACUCUAAGUAUAUUUAUUAAAGUAGUAGAUGAUACUGCUAAGUAAGUAAAGCAUAUCUAGUUUUCAAUCAGCUUCCUACUGUUUCGCGAUUUCCCUAUAUUUCAAUUGUUGUGAUUUUGUAUGUUUGCUUUGAGCGGAUAAUCAUUGAAAAAUAACCUCUCCCUCUGCAAAAAGUAAGAUAAGGUUGUGUACUCACUACCACAAACCCACUUAGUUUGUUGUUAUUGUAACACCAAUAUUAGAAGAUGAAACAAAUUAAUGCCUCAAGAAGUAUAUCAUGAACUGGAAAAUAAGUGAUUGUAAAAAAGAAAUAUAAUUAGUGAGUUAUGAUUUGAAUGAUUAAUUAAUUACUAAUUGAGCAACCUCUUUUUAGAGGCCAACAAAUUAUUUUUUUGACUACUUAGCGCUAACUUAAACAAACAACUCUCCCCUGGUCCCUCUAAAUUUUUUCUUCUUUUAUUGUCCAUCAUUUAAUCCUCUAAUUAGGAAAAAGAAUAGACUUAAAUAUUACCUUUUUUAGUUUAUACUUUAAAAUAAAUAAGUAAGAAUAUGAGUCCACUUGUCAAGAAAUGAACUAGACUUAAUAUUGGUUAUAUGACUCAUAAUAAAAUUUCUCAACACAAAUGGAUUGGCCUAUCGAUUGCCGAGCGGAAGCUGAUCAAGUCACAAAUAUUUAGAACUUUCCCUUUUAAAAUUUAUAAAUAUGUCUCCGAUCCGGUCUCUAUUAAAAUUCAUUAAAAGCGGGUGUUUGUCAUAAUUUUCUUAUUAUAUUUGAUUUUCCUAUUUGUUGAAGGAAAGAGCAAUAUAAUUAUCUAAAUUGAGUUUUCAUUUUGUAGAAGGAAAUUAUAAUUAUCACAUAUUUGGCUAGUCCUUUUUCUUGUAGGAAAAUAUUUGGACUUCUAUAAAUUGAAGAUCUAUCAUUCUCAUUCAGUAACAUCCACAAUUUAGCCAUACGUGGUUUGAGAGUUGUGUUUAGGGUGAGAACUUUACGGGACAAGUGUUAGUGUGUCACUUGUAUUUGCCUCUUCGUGAGGUUGUUCUUUCGAUAUUUUGUAUUCUCUUUUAUUAUAGUGAAUUGUUCAUCUCCGCCGUGGACGUAGAUCGGUCGACCGAAUCAUGUUAAAUGUUUGUCUUUUUCGAUAUUUCUCUUUUGUUGUCUGAUUUAUCGUUGUUGAAGAUUUGCUUUGCUAGCUUACACAUGACACAUGAUUAUUUUGGUCCUAACAGUUUGGAAGUAGUUUUGACAAUUUUGAGUCAAGGCCAAGAGUGUAUUUUCUAGAGAAUGGGGACUUGCAUAACAUCAUUUUGGUCUUUAGAUGGUAACGCCUAACAUAGAAAGAAUGGAUUAUGUAUAGGAGCUUAACUUCUAUAUAAAGACAAUUUAAUUUUUUAAAACACAGUUAGGCUACCUAAAAUAUAAUACUAACAUAGUAGUUGUUUAUAUGAAGUGAGAUUAAUUGCUGAAAAAUAAAAGCAGAAUCUACUAUUUAAAUAACACUCCAAUUUUUUUUAGACAUAGUAUAGGUCAAAUCCUAUGUAUAGGAAGUAAAGACGUCCGCGCACCAAUUAAUGAUUCCGGCGCUUACGGCAUAGAGUGACCAACCAAAACAACAACAUCCCAAUAUAAUUUUAUGAGAUCCGGAAAAAGUAGUAUAUAUGCAGAUCUUACCCCUACUCUGGGAUAGAGAUGCUAUUUUCAAAUAGACUCUCCGACAUUCUUCUCUCCAAAAACUUUUCACGUUAUUCUUAGAAGACUCGAACUCACAACCUGUCCUAUGUGUGGUUCUUUCCUGAACCCUAUCCUAUACAAAUACAUUGUGCAUCGGGCUACUCUUUUAGUGUACAUCACAUAGUUAAAGAACAUUAAACAUUCUAAACAUAAGCCGGCGAAUUAACUUUCAGAAAGGAAAAAAAAGUAGAAAAAUAGAUAUGAGAAAGAAAAGGCAUAUAUAUAUAUACACACACUUCCCUUUCCUUUGUUGUGAAGCUAGUUCGAUAACUCACCUUUUGGCGUUAAUCCAAAGCUUGAAAAAAUGAUCAUCUGAGCAUUACCUUUUAGCAUAUAAACGUGCAUGGCUUAUCAUUCUCAGAAGCUUUAUUGAAAAACGAGUUGAAGAUGACUAUAUUUUAGUAUAAAAAAGGGUAGUUUCAGAAUACAGUGAAAGUAAAGACUGAAAUUCGGUCUGCAUUCUCUGUAUCUUAUUACCUUUAUAAAGAGAUAGAGAGAGAACAAAUGUGAACAAAG